rnacentral:lncRNA from 1 species
GCCACACAGCUAGUAACUGUCUUGGGCCUGAUAGAACCUUCAGCUUGGAUCUUCAGCUUGGACCUUGACUUUUGGACUGCUUCUUGGAGGACUGCUACUGGAUCUUUUCCUCUGGAGGUCGGUGUUGGAGGAUUUCACUUUGGGACUUGGCCUUCAGUCUUCUCCUUUAGAGUUUGUUCCUUUGGAGUUUGUCUUGGGUGGUCAUGGAAGAUGGGUCCCCUGCUGAACUCUUCAGAAGUCAACCAUUCACCCCAACACCCCUUCUCUGGUGGUGAGUAAGUGGCAAAUGAAAAGAUUCUCUCAGUACUGGUCCUGUUGAUUGACAGGGCAAGUGACGGGGGUACCUGAUGAUGCC